rnacentral:rRNA from 1 species
AAUGAACGCUGGCGGCGUGCCUAACACAUGCAAGUCGUACGAGAAAUCCCGAGCUUGCUUGGGAGAGUAAAGUGGCGCACGGGUGAGUAACGCGUGGGUAACCCACCUUCGAAUCUGGGAUAACUCCGCGAAAGCGGUGCUAAUACCGGAUAAGACCACAGCCGUUUCGGCGGCAGAGGUAAAAGCUGACCUCUCCAUGGAAGUUAGCGUUCGAGGACGGGCCCGCGUCCUAUCAGCUUGUUGGUGGGGUAAAGGCCUACCAAGGCAGCGACGGGUAGCUGGUCUGAGAGGAUGAUCAGCCACACUGGAACUGGAACACGGUCCAGACUCCUACGGGAGGCAGCAGUGAGGAAUUUUGCGCAAUGGGGGAAACCCUGACGCAGCAACGCCGCGUGGGUGAAGAAGGCUUUCGGGUCGUAAAGCCCUGUCAGGUGGAAGAACCGUUUCGAUACUAAUAAUGUCGAAGCCUGACGGUACCACCAGAGGAAGCACCGGCCAACUCCGUG